UCAUCCUACUUUAAUAAGGCUUUUGAUAUCUGGAGCUCAUAUGUGGGAGAUAAAGUAUACAUACUUACAAGACAUUUAUUGCAUAGUCAAACCAUGGAUCCAGAGAAACAAAUCAAUAAGUCAAAUCAAGAUGUGCAUGUGUGGCGAAUGAAUGGUGUAUGGUGAUGAUGGUCAUAACAAUGGUGAAAGUCUAAUUCUACUUGUGCUCUUUUUAGGGGAUACAUACCUUUCUUGCUCUUUUGAAACUUUUUGGGGAGAAUGAGAUUCUCUAUAUUUUUUUUUCUUUCCUCUCAGGUGGGUAUCUUGUACCCCUAAUUCUACUGUCGGACACUUGUCUAUUUUUACCUCUCAUCUCACUUUUUCUUUUCUUUCGAGGUUCCGGGCACUUGCCCCUUUUUAUUUCCUCGUAUCUCUUCUUCUCUUUUUUUAUAGCACUCAUCUCUUGAAAUAAUAUAGCAAGUGGAAGUAAUAAAGAUAACUCGAGCAUUUAUUUCACAGGGGAAAACAGAAAUAUUUUUGGCUAUUCUCUCCCAGGAGUAGAAUAUUUUUCAGUGGCUCUGGAGAUGGAAAUGGGUGGAUAUAUGUGGAUGCGUACUUCCAGAGUUGAAGCAGCAUGUGUGAGUGAACGUGCAAGUGAAUCUUGAUUUAACCACACGACAAGCUCCUAAGGGUCUACACAGCUUGACUACACUCAAUGCUCAUAAGCAGUAAAAAGUAAAUGUGUGGCUCAAAGUCUAGCAAGCAUGUAUAUAUGGCUGUGGUAGGAAUUUAAACUCUCAUCAUACAGGAACUCAUCAUGUGCUAUUUUAAAGAUUUUUCAAAGAUAAAAUUCUCCAGAAUUCUAGCAUCUCUAGGAACAGAUAAACAACAGCUCAACCUUUCCAUAUCAUAUCCGUUAACAACUUAGACUUUAGAUCAAGUUCUCUUCCUACAAGUUCAGAUUUAGAGCAAGCUUUAAAUUAUAACAGUUAUGUCUAAACUUGAGAGAGAACUCAAAUUUGAAAAUU
rnacentral:lncRNA from 1 species